AGGAAGGAAGGAAGGAAGGAAGGAAGGAAGGAAAGAUGUAAGAGGGUGUGGCCACCAAUACUCAUGAGAUCCUCUAUGGGACUUUAACAAACGUCAACAAUCCUGCCACCAGGUAAAGAAUCACAAACACCAUUAGAGGUGUCUAGUGAUUGUCCACGCUCUAUUGGAAACCUGACCAUUAAGUGAACUCCAGUGAACAGUUUGAUAGCUGCUUUGGAGAGCAGAGAAGGUGCAAAAAAUAAGUUUCAGAAUGGAUGGCCAUAAAUACAUGCCACGGUAUUGACUAAGGUGCUGGAUGGAGGAGGAGGAGGCCGGAGUUUAAGUUCUGCCCCACCGUAUCAUUAGUGGGAAAAGUGAGUGGACGUUGGCAUGUAGAACAAUUUUGCAUGUAAAGAGAUCAAAGAGGUGAGGGAAGAGGAAAGAAAAGAAAUACAAAGAAUGUAUGGGCUUGUGGACCUGAGACGAUGAAGAGGAGCAUGUGAAUUUGCCUCCAUCACCAAAUACCAUGCUGGAUGAUCUGGCCAAGUCGGUUCCUUGAGUUUCCGUGUUCCCAUCUGGGAAAUGACGUUUUGAAGUGUAUUCCAUCUCACUCUAAUUACCUACAAAUAGUAAUCAUGUACAAACUGAGGCAGGGUUUGUGGGGUGUCCUGUAAAUGGUAUGGUGCUCUGCAUGUUGAAGGCAGCAUCUUACCCAAAAGUACUGAGACCUGGGUGGGAAGGAAAAUAACUUCAUACAAUGUCAAAAACCUGCCUUCUGUGUCAGCCUGGAAAAAAACAGCAAUACAGCUAAAAAAGAGA